UAAAACUCUCAAAACCAGUAUAGAGCACAUAGUACGUUUUCUCUCUCUCUCAAAUCUCUCCGCCCUCUCUAAAAUCCCUUCUCUGCUAAAAGAAAAUAGCAAGGGAUUAUCUACUCCAAAUCUCUCAUAUCAAGAUAAGAAACUCAAUUAUCAGGAAUACCAAAAAGUCAUACAGAAAGACCCAUUUGAAGCCUAUUUGGUGAUUUUCAGUCUUGACAGAACUCUCACCUAUUUCUUUUUUGGGAGGGUCCAAAUGAUAGGACGAGGUAAAGGUCGAAGUGGAACUGGUCGUAGACGUGGCCAUUUUCAAGGACGUGAUAAUGCUGGAGCGAUGUCUCAGCCACAAGUACAACCAAUAAGGAAUACUGCAACAUAUGUGUCUCAGCCACAAGUACAACCAAUAGGGAAUACUGCAGCAUCUCCUGAGACAGGAGAAUAAAAUAAUCCUAGUCAAGAACCUCUAGAGAUAGGACAAAUAUCAAGUAACCCUUGGCAGAGACAUUCUAUAGAGAUAGUAUCGUCAAGGAAUCUGGACAGAAGUGUGCUUCCCUCUCCUGAAGUUGAAAAUGAAAAUGGUGCAGGUUAGUUUUUGAGUAUUCAGUUAUUACUCUUACUAGUGAUUAAAAAAAUGAUCGCUUUCUCGCUUUAAGAAAGAAGCGAGGCGAAGCAUGAAGGUCAUCGCUUCAGGUAAGAAAAGCGACUCUGGUAAGAAAAGCGACCGCUUCUCUGUAAAAAGCGAGAAGCGUUAGAAGCGUCCGAAAUUUUGAUUUUCAAUCUUCUUCUUCUUCUUCAGCAGCAACUUUCUUCAGAAGUUGAAGUUCUGCAAUUUUGAUUUUCAUUCUUCUUCUUCUUUUUCUUUUUCUUUCUAAACGUCCAAAAAGCUCCGAAAUGUUGGCGAUUAUUUUUGUCUUUAGUUCUUUAUCAGAAAAUUUCUGCCCAAUUUUUAUAUGAAGUAUUCAUAGUUCUUAUUGACUUUCUUAUGUGUUAUGUAGUUGUUCAAAAAUUGCAGUUUCUGCCCAAAAUUCUGCUUCUCGCUUCUUGUGAAAUGUGGGUUGUCGCUUUUCCUCGCUUCACGCUCUUCACAACACUGACUCUUACUCUUAACAUGACUGCAACUAUGUAGGCUGAUCACAUAUACUAUUUUUUCUUUGUAUAGUUUCUUCCAGCAGUAAAAAGAGAGAAAGAGGGAAAUAUAAAUCCAAAACAGUAGAUAUAAAAACUAAGUAUGGCGAAAAAAUUACAAUUACAAAUCCAGAUAAUAUUGAUAGAGCAGUAGGUACUGGGGCUAGAGAUAUUGUUAACUAUUGUGAUUUAAUCAUGAGGAGCACUAUCUCGUUCCGUGAUGAAAAUUGGCAAAAGAUUGUUUCAAAACAUGGAGAAGCAAUGUGGUUGAAGGUCAAGGAUAAAUUUGAAGUUCUUGGCGGCGUGCGAGAGCAUAGGAUUCAAGCCUUUGUUAUCGAUACUAUGUGACGGCUUUUCAGAGCUUGGAGAGCUCGACUGAGCAUUUGCUACUCUCGCCAUGCUGCUGAAGGAAACAUAUUGUCUCGUCGACCUAUAGAUGUUGAGCUAGAGGACUGGAAAUACUUAGUAGAGUAUUUUGGAAGUCCGGAAUUUAAGGUUGUAAGCGAGAGAAAUAGAAAGAAUAGGGAAAAGCAGAUAACUAAGCAUGCUUGUGGUACGAGGUCUUUUGCAGAAGUAGAGGAAUCGACGAAAAAUCCUGCUGCAGGAGAAAAGGAACCACUGGAUAGAGUUUGGGAGAUCUAACAUACACGUAAAAAUGAUAGAGGAGAAAUAGUGUGGGUGGAUCCACAAUCCCAGCAGAUUCACCUCCAGGACCUUGUGGCUCAGCAACAAUCUGAAGAGAUUGAGUAUCCCAUGACUAGAGCUGAGAUUUUAUCCUCAGUUCUUGAUGAAAGGACAGGCUAUGUUCGUGGUAAAGGGUAUGGAAAGAAGCCUCCAAAAAGUAGUCACACGCAAGCGACAAACAUAGAGGCUAGUGUGUCUUCUACAAUAGAAACUAUGCGUCAAGAGAUGCAAGCUGAUAUGGAUCGAAAGUUGCAAGCGGAACGUGAACAAAUGGCUACGGAGUUGAAUAGGAACAUGGAGCAAGAGUUACAAAGAAAGUUGAAUGAGAAGCUUGAACAUGUGAAUCUGGAAGUAGGGAACAGGGUCAGUCUAGAAGUAGCCAAGAAGAUCCAAGAACAACUGGGUGCUCUCAUGACCAGAAUGCAACAGGGACAAGGUUCUUAAACAAUAGAGACAACCAAGGAGGGGCUUCAAGGCACUUAGUAUUUUGCUCUUUUGGGAUGUAUAUGCAUACAAUGACAAUGAAGUAUUAUGCAUUAUAUAUGUAAUUCACAUUUUAGUAAUGGAAGUAUUUAAUAUUCGACUUAAGAUAUUCUUUUGGUGUUUGUAAAAUACUAUUGGAUGCGUUUAUAUAAUUUUGGUCAUUACAAUUGCUGAA